CAUCAUUGAUUUUUUGCCGUCUCGACGGCAGAGAGUGCACACUCACGCCUCCCUCGGGGGGCUACUUCCAAAACCCAUCAUAGUUUGUGCAUGUGUAUACUUUUAUAUAACUUAUAAAGUACAACUUUCAACAACGGAUCUCUUGGCUCUCGCAUCGAUGAAGAACGCGGCGAAAUGCGAUAAGUAAUGUGAAUUGCAGAUUUCAGUGAAUCAUCGAAUCUUUGAACGCACCUUGCGCUCCUCGGCCUUCCGAGGAGCAUGCCUGUUUGAGUGCCCAGAAAUUCACUCGAUGUAACAACUUGUUUGUUGCAUCGGAGCGUGGGGGUCUUUGCCUCGCCAUCACUGGCGAGGCUCCCUUCAAAUACGUUAGCUGGCCCUUUGUAGGUCUGCCCAAUGGCUUGAUAUUAAAACGUCGAUGCCGCCGGGUGACUCUGCUUUUAAAGGUUGCUUACAGCCGUCCUCUUUCUGGACAACAUCUUCUGAGCUCGGGCCUCAAAUCAGGUAGGAUUACCC
rnacentral:rRNA from 1 species